ncrna:Capitella teleta microRNA cte-mir-2686b precursor
UUAGUGCCUUUAUAUGGAACCAUCUAUCCUUAUAUCGAUUGGAAGAUGUUCUUUAUGUAGGCUCCUGU